CAGGCUUAACACAUGCAAGUCGAGGGGCAGCAUGGUCUUAGCUUGCUAAGGCCGAUGGCGACCGGCGCACGGGUGAGUAACACGUAUCCAACCUGCCGUCUACUCUUGGACAGCCUUCUGAAAGGAAGAUUAAUACAAGAUGGCAUCAUGAGUCCGCAUGUUCACAUGAUUAAAGGUAUUCCGGUAGACGAUGGGGAUGCGUUCCAUUAGAUAGUAGGCGGGGUAACGGCCCACCUAGUCUUCGAUGGAUAGGGGUUCUGAGAGGAAGGUCCCCCACAUUGGAACUGAGACACGGUCCAAACUCCUACGGGAGGCAGCAGUGAGGAAUAUUGGUCAAUGGGCGAGAGCCUGAACCAGCCAAGUAGCGUGAAGGAUGACUGCCCUAUGGGUUGUAAACUUCUUUUAUAAAGGAAUAAAGUCGGGUAUGGAUACCCGUUUGCAUGUACUUUAUGAAUAAGGAUCGGCUAACUCCGUGCCAGCAGCCGCGGUAAUACGGAGGAUCCGAGCGUUAUCCGGAUUUAUUGGGUUUAAAGGGAGCGUAGAUGGAUGUUUAAGUCAGUUGUGAAAGUUUGCGGCUCAACCGUAAAAUUGCAGUUGAUACUGGAUAUCUUGAGUGCAGUUGAGGCAGGCGGAAUUCGUGGUGUAGCGGUGAAAUGCUUAGAUAUCACGAAGAACUCCGAUUGCGAAGGCAGCCUGCUAAGCUGCAACUGACAUUGAGGCUCGAAAGUGUGGGUAUCAAACAGGAUUAGAUACCCUGGUAGUCCACACGGUAAACGAUGAAUACUCGCUGUUUGCGAUAUACAGCAAGCGGCCAAGCGAAAGCGUUAAGUAUUCCACCUGGGGAGUACGCCGGCAACGGUGAAACUCAAAGGAAUUGACGGGGGCCCGCACAAGCGGAGGAACAUGUGGUUUAAUUCGAUGAUACGCGAGGAACCUUACCCGGGCUUAAAUUGCAGAUGAAUUACGGUGAAGGCCGUAAGCCGCAAGGCAUCUGUGAAGGUGCUGCAUGGUUGUCGUCAGCUCGUGCCGUGAGGUGUCGGCUUAAGUGCCAUAACGAGCGCAACCCUUGUUGUCAGUUACUAACAGGUUCCGCUGAGGACUCUGACAAGACUGCCAUCGUAAGAUGUGAGGAAGGUGGGGAUGACGUCAAAUCAGCACGGCCCUUACGUCCGGGGCUACACACGUGUUACAAUGGGGGGGUACAGAGGGCCGCUACCACGCGAGUGGAUGCCAAUCCCAAAAACCUCUCUCAGUUCGGACUGGAGUCUGCAACCCGACUCCACGAAGCUGGAUUCGCUAGUAAUCGCGCAUCAGCCACGGCGCGGUGAAUACGUUCCCGGGCCUUGUACACACCGCCCGUCAAGCCAUGGGAGCCGGGGGUACCUGAAGUGCGUAACCGCGAGGAGCGCCCUAGGGUAAAACUGGUGACUGGGGCUA
rnacentral:rRNA from 1 species